UGGGGAAUAUUGGACAAUGGGCGCAAGCCUGAUCCAGCAAUGCCGCGUGUGUGAAGAAGGCCUUCGGGUUGUAAAGCACUUUUAUCAGGAGCAAAACGCUGUCGGCUAAUACCCGGCGGAACUGACGGUACCUGAGGAAUAAGCACCGGCUAACUUCGUGCCAGCAGCCGCGGUAAUACGAAGGGUGCAAGCGUUAAUCGGAAUUACUGGGCGUAAAGCGUGCGUAGGCGGUUUCUUAAGUCUGCUGUGAAAUCCCCGGGCUCAACCUGGGAAUGGCAGUGGAUACUGGGAGGCUAGAGUGUGUCAGAGGGUGGUGGAAUUCCCGGUGUAGCGGUGAAAUGCGUAGAGAUCGGGAGGAACAUCAGUGGCGAAGGCGGCCACCUGGGACAACACUGACGCUGAGGCACGAAAGCGUGGGGAGCAAACAGGAUUAGAUACCCUGGUAGUCCACGCCCUAAAGCGAUGCGAACUGGAUGUUGGUCUCAACUCGGAGAUCAGUGUCGAAGCUAACGCGUUAAGUUCGCCGCCUGGGGAGUACGGUCGCAAGACUGAAACUCAAAUGAAUUGAC
rnacentral:rRNA from 1 species